AACGGUCUAUACCUGCGGUACCUGCGGAAGGAUCAUUAUUGAUUGAUAAAGGGAUGUGCUGGCAAAAAUACCACUUUGCAUUGUGCACUCCUGAAAUCUUCAUCCACUUUUUGUGCACUUUUGUAGACAAAGUCUGCUUUUUUGGCUUUUGUCUAUGUUUUUAUUACACAUUCAUCAGUCAUCUAAUGAUUUGUGACUUAUUAGUCAAAUUUAAUACAACUUUCAACAACGGAUCUCUAG
rnacentral:misc_RNA from 1 species